UACAGGGGGGGCAAGCGUUGUUCGGAAUUACUGGGCGUAAAGGGUUCGUAGGUGGCCACCUAAGUCAGACGUGAAAUCCCUCAGCUUAACUGGGGAACUGCGUCUGAUACUGGGGGACUUGAGUGCAGAAGAGGAGAGUGGAAUUCCACGUGUAGCGGUGAAAUGCGUAGAGAUGUGGAGGAACACCAGUGGCGAAGGCGACUCUCUGGUCUGUAACUGACGCUGAGGCGCGAAAGCGUGGGGAGCAAACAGG
rnacentral:rRNA from 1 species